UCCACUAAGGGCAGUCUGUCUAGAGUGCUCCGACUUUCGCCGGGUGGCAACUAAACAUAGGGGUUGCGUUCGUUGCGGGACUUAACCCAACACCUCACGGCACGAACUGACGACAGCCAUGCAGCACCUGUGUAACACCCUCGAAGGCUUCCCGCCUUUCAGCGGGAAUGCAGUUACAUGUCAAGUCCUGGUAAGGUUCUUCGCGUUGCAUCGAAUUAAGCCACAUGCUCCUCCGCUUGUGCGGGCCCCCGUCAAUUUCUUUGAGUUUUAGUCUUGCGACCGUACUCCCCAGGCGGUGCAUUUAACGCGUUCGCUCCGGCACAGGGGGGUCAACACCCCUACACCAAAUGCACACCGUUUAAGGUUGGGACUAC
rnacentral:misc_RNA from 1 species